AAAAAUUAGUUAAACUUAUAACAUUAGUAUGUCAAACUAAAAUUAUUAAAACUUUAAUAUUUUUUG
rnacentral:tRNA from 1 species